rnacentral:rRNA from 1 species
UACAGAGGUCCCAAGCGUUGUUCGGAUUCAUUGGGCGUAAAGGGUGCGUAGGUGGCGCCGUAAGUCAGGUGUGAAAUCUCGGGGCUUAACUCCGAAACUGCAUUUGAUACUGCGGUGCUUGAGGACUGGAGAGGAGACUGGAAUUUACGGUGUAGCGGUGAAAUGCGUAGAUAUCGUAAGGAACACCAGUGGCGAAGGCGGGUCUCUGGACAGUUCCUGACGCUGAGGCACGAAGGCCAGGGGAGCAAACGGG